AAUCAAUCAACCAAUCAAUCAAAUACCGAAGUGAAGCGCAGCCGCACGCGCGAGGGAUUCACAGUUGAAAGAGCACCAUCGCCAUAGAAAGCGUAACCGUUACCAAAAAUCAAAAUAAUAAUAAUGAAACGCAUUACAAAUGAAGAACAACCAACCUGUUUGUUUUUUAGGCUUACACUGUUUUUGUGCGUCGAACGCUGAAGAACGGUCUCACCGAUGAGGAGAAACAGCACGUG
rnacentral:sRNA from 1 species